CCUCCUUCCUCUCUGAAUCCCCUGGGAUAAAGGCCAGUGUUCAGGAGCAGUACAGUCUCCCCAGGGGCUGGAGGCCCUUCCAGCCACUCUCUGGAAGCCCUUAGUCCCCAGUUUCCCUCAGACUAACAUCACACAGAAAGUAGCCUGCAGGGUCACUGGCCUCAGGGUCACCACUCCAUCAGCCUCAAGGCCCCACGCCUGCGAGAUGUCCAGCAGGGCCCAGGCCAGAGCCACCAGGAGACUUGGAGCCACCUUCCGCUAACUCCGCUGGGCAGGCACUACAGGCAUCUAAGAAGGUGGUCUCUCCCUCAUGGUUCCGGGGCUGCCCAGGCGGGGCUGAGGCACAGCAGGCCAGGGGCUCUCCAAGUCCCUACAGAUCUGUGACCUUGUUUUCUACAGCCGCUGCGAUCUGCUGGAGCCGAUAGCCCAGCUGCAUCUUCUGGGCCGUGCCAUCUUCCUCCAGGGCAGUGAUGAUCUGAAACACAGAGACCAACUCAGCAGGGGGAGACCGUCAGCCUGCCGUCUGCCUUUGCCACAGACUUCAAUAGGCCUCCACAGCUACUGCAGCAGUAAAAUCGUUUUGAGUGGAGGCCAACUUCACCCACCAUGCUGGUCUUCUCCGCCACAAACCCCCGGGAAGCCCUGCUCCACCCAUCCUGGCUCCCCCGCCCACCAGGCAACAAGCAGUUCCUAAAUUCCUACAUGCCGGGUGCUGGACAAGGAGCAGGGACCCAGCAGUGAUGACAGGCCCUGGUAGAUCCCCAGCCAUCCAUCACCACCACCAUGCCCAGGAGCCCGGCUGAGGAGCCCGGAUGGGAAGGGCGGCAGCAGAGGCAGCGGGAACACUGUGCUGAGGCCCCCAGGGCUUCCCUGCAAAGGAGCAGCGUGAAGGGGGCAGGACCCUUGUGGCAGAAGGCCUAUGCCCAACCCAAGAAGCAGAAGGAGGGCCAUACCCGGGACAGCUCGGCCAGGAUGGAGUUCAUCUCUUGAUCACUGGCGGGGAUGGUCUGUCUGAUGUCUGCAUAGUACCUGCCAGAGAUCAUGGGUCCGGCAGCCGCUGGGGAAACAAACCCCUCUUCACCCCACCAGGCCCACCCCUGGGCCUCAGCUGUAAACACCCACCAAUCCGUCCAGCCAUUAUCCCCCAGAUGCAAUCCCUUUCCCUCGUACCUUUCCACCAUCCGUUUGUACCGGGGAAUAUCCCGAGCAUACAGAAGUUUGUUGAUGGGAGAGUCCUGGGUGCCAGCAGGUGAACAGUGAAAGGAAAAGAAGGAUGAGAGCUCCUGUUAGGGUGACCAGCUGUCCCAAUUUUCCCAGCACUGUUUCAGUUUUAAAACUAAGUCCCGAAUUGCAGGAAACCUCCUCAGUCCCAGACAACCCGGAUGGUUGGUCACCCCACCUCAUUCCUUCUGUCACCCCUCCCCCAGUGUCCCAUCUCUGCUGUCAUCACCUUGAGCUUCCCCCCAUCUCACUCCAAGGUCAUCUCUCAGCUCCACGUGCCUCCACCCGGACCUGGCAGGGAACUGGCAUGCAGGGUGGGAAGGGUGCAGUGCCGUGUGGAGCCCUAAUAUUGCUUCUCCAAGUGCUGUUCAUUCCCCAUGUAAUCAUUUUAAAAAUCAGGAAACUAACCCCGAAAUUUAAUUAAAUUGCCCCAGACCACCUCACUCCUGUGUGGCUGAGCUGGGAUUUGAAGCAGGUCUCUCAGACCAGGGCCCACAAUCUAACACAGCCAAUAUAUCCUCUACCACCGAACCGGGCUCCAAUCCCAGCUCUGUCCCAGUGGCUGUGGGCAGCACACUUCCAUUCUCUGGACCUGCUGCCUCAUCCUACAGCUGCUGGGAGGGUGAGGCAAGACUGCACUGCCGCCUGUGAGCAAGGGCGUGAGCGCUGGGCCUGAGGCAGGAUGCCUGCUUCUCAGCAACUCUCCAUGGGUGGCCCUUGGCAUCCUGGUUUGCACUAUUCCUGAGCUACCCAGGAAGCAUCUGCAGUGCUGUUGGGAAGGGGAAGCAGUGUGAAGAUCAGGCAGAAGAACCCAGCUACCAUACAGCACACACCCUGGAGGUGACCCCUGGGUCCUGGUGUGGCUCUGUGGUUCUCAGCUCGCUAUCGCAGGCAGAGUAAUGAGCGCAGGCAGAGGAAAAAUGGCUUACAAAAGACAGCACUACAGAGUGGAACUUUCCAUCUUGUUUCCCCAUGGAGAACUCUCACGAGGUCCCGCCCAGGGGUCGAGGCUAAGCAGAGUCCGUUAUGCAGAGCCACGACAGCCCUGCCUGCUGGGUGCCUGAGCAGUCAUAGUGGUGACCCCGUAUCUGUCACAGGACUCUCUGGGUCCUGACCACUGUGACAACAUACCUCCCCCUCUCUGUGCCACCAGGCAGCCCUGACCACCUCUCCUCCAUGCUUCCCAGCUCCCCUGUCAGCACACCCCUCCUCGCCUGGCCCUCCCCUGGACUCUGCUCCCUGUACUGCACAGGCUGGCAGACACUUCCACUGCCCUUGGGAAUCAAAUCUCCGAGGCAGCCUGGAGCUGCUCUGCGAUUGUAGAAUCCAUGGGCUCACCUCCUCCAAGUCUCAGCUCACCACCGCCAGAGGCCCGGGGUGCGUAAGGAACCCCUCCCUCUUCCUCACCCCCACAUCCAACCCACAGCUUCUGCCUGCCCUGUACCCUCUAGUCCCAGCAUGAACCUGGCCACCGCUCGUCCCAGGGACAACACAGCUUCCUCUCUGGACGCCAGGCUCCAGUCCAUCCACUGCAUGAUUGCCAGGAGGCUCCACCUAACUCUCAGGUCUGACCACCCCCUUUGCCCUCAGGGUGAGCCCUUGCCAAGUGGCCCUGGCCUCCUGCCACACCGCCAGCACUCUUUGCUCCACUUAACCCUGUGAAUCAGCACACGUGCCCCCUGCCCUUGCUCAUCCCUGAAGGCUGAGGCACGGCCACCUCCUAGGGAGGCCAGGGACAAAGCCUGUCCCCGGGCCUGCGGUCAAAGGCCUCCUAUAUCCUCCUCCUUGACAUCCUCAAGAAGGCCUGGAGUCUGUGCACCACAGCACUCUCCAUCCCCGGCUACGCUGCCCCACCCACCUAGACCCUCCCGGUCCACCCCAGCCAGCUCACCCGGCCCAGCUUGUGGUCAGCCAGGGUGCAGGCAUCCAUGAAGGUCUGUGCAAUGACCAGGAACACUGCAUCCAUGUUAUCAGAUGUCUGCACGUCGAACACAAACUGCGGGUUUUUUAUGAUAUUGAUCCAGAACCUCAGCGGCAAGCUGUGGGCGGGGCAGGUGUGGCCAGUGAGUGUGCUGGGGAGACAGGAGAGAAGACCCCGCACAUGCUAGGCCCGCCCCGCCCCACGCCCACCUGUUGGUCUUCCAUAUAUGGACGGUGUCCUGGUCUGAGAUGCCAUGCUGCUGGGCCUGCUCAUCCAGCAGGUCAAAGAAGUAUUUCACAGCGAGCGGCACGGGACGGCUGGUGCUGAGAAUCACCUGGAACAGGUCAUCCACAAACUUCUGCAGGGUGCCCUGCGGACGAGGGGAAGCACAAGAGAUGCAGUCACCAAGGGGACCUCAGCCCAGCCCAGCCCAGCCCAGCCUCAGAUGCCUCGUGACACCAGGCCUGUGCGAGCCCCAUAUACUCCCAAAUCCCACUACCUGUCUCGUCCCUGCCCCCAGCCCCACCUUCAUGGACAGCAGGCGGGUCAGGUAGAUCUCAGGGAUGGCCUUGGCUCGCUCCCGCUCCCCGCCCCGGAGGCUGCCCCUCCGAGGCCUGGGCGGCUCCGGCUCCUCGCUUGGCUUCACCAGGUGCCAGGGCCGGAUGCCCCCCUCGUCCACAUCCUCCAGCAUUGGGGUCCCUGUGCCAAGACCUUACAGCUUGUCACCCCUCAUCAGGUGCCCCCUGCCCUAGACCCCCGGGGUCCUGCCAAAACCUGGGAGUGGGGGCACCUGGUUAAGGGCUUCUCUGGGUGGAAGGGAAGUAGACACAAGCCCACCCUGAAGUCCAGAGGACCUUACCCCGUUACUGGAGACUGGGCAAAGCAAGGGUAGAGGACUGCGAUGGCAGGGGUGGGGCGGGGGGGAGGGUAAGUACUCACUCUCUCCAGGGACGUAAUCCUGGCUUUCCCGGAGGACAUGCUUGGUGAGGCAGGGGACGAGGGCCACAGUUGCUCCGUCUGGGACCUGUGGACCACAGUUGGUGACCCCUCCACCAGCCCACCCCACCACAGCCUUCCCCCAGUUCCCACCCCUCCCACCUUGUAAUGCUGCAGGGUGUUCAGGCGCCUCCACAGACCCUGGACCUCAGAAGUCACGUCCUCGUCAGAAAGAAUGAGAUGCCCGGCCACCCCAGACCGCCAUUCUGCAAGGACAAGGCUCCCGGCGCAGACAGGCUGAGGCACCUGAGGAAGCCCGCAUAAGAAGUGGGGUCUCCACUAGCCAGAGGAGCAGGCCUGGCGGAGCCUGAAUGGGAUUUUCCCAAAGGACCUCCACGUGGGCCACGAAGGGGAAAGUUUCCCAGAGGGAAACAAUGGGCAGGUCUGCCAGGGUGACUCCCAGCUUGGUGGGCACAACCAUGCCCCUGGCAGGAUGCUAAGACCAUGAUCAGGCAGACACUCAGGCCCUGACACAGCAAGGACCCGGACGGGCCCCGGGCAGGGUUGGCUGCUCCCUAGACUCUGGAUGUGGCCAUCCUGACCCCACCCCAAACCUGGGGAACCUCUGAGGUCCUGUCUUCAAGAUCUGGUCCUCAAGCCUCUAUCCUGCAGCCAGCUGGAGGUUAGGCUGGCUCAAACCAGAUGCAGACACCCACACAAUCAUACGUAGUCACCCUCCUCACCUUCAUGGGAGACUGACUCACCAGCAGGUUCUCUCCCUCCCCCUCCCCCUCCCCCU